rnacentral:rRNA from 1 species
UACGGAGGGUGCGAGCGUUGUCCGGAAUCACUGGGCGUAAAGGGCGCGUAGGCGGCAUGCCAAGCGUGUGGUGAAAGCCCGGGGCUCAACCCCGGGUCGGCCGUGCGGACUGGCGUGCUCGAGCACUGUAGGGGCGGGUGGAAUUCCGGGUGUAGCGGUGGAAUGCGUAGAGAUCCGGAGGAACACCGAUGGCGAAGGCAGCCCCCUGGGCCGACACUGACGCUCAGGCACGAAAGCGUGGGGAGCAAACAGG